GACGAACGCUGGCGGCGUGCUUAACACAUGCAAGUCGAACGGAAAGGCCCUGCUUUUGUGGGGUGCUCGAGUGGCGAACGGGUGAGUAACACGUGAGUAACCUGCCCUUGACUUUGGGAUAACUUCAGGAAACUGGGUCUAAUACCGGAUAGGAGCUCCUGCUGCAUGGUGGGGGUUGGAAAGUUUCGGCGGUUGGGGAUGGACUCGCGGCUUAUCAGCUUGUUGGUGGGGUAGUGGCUUACCAAGGCUUUGACGGGUAGCCGGCCUGAGAGGGUGACCGGCCACAUUGGGACGGAGAUACGGCACAGACUCCUACGGGAGGCAGCAGUGGGGAAUAUUGCACAAUGGGCGGAAGCCUGAUGCAGCAACGCCGCGUGCGGGAUGACGGCCUUCGGGUUGUAAACCGCUUUCGCCUGUGACGAAGCGUGAGUGACGGUAAUGGGUAAAGAAGCACCGGCUAACUACGUG
rnacentral:rRNA from 1 species